rnacentral:pre_miRNA from 1 species
AGUGUAAUUCCUAGGUUGUAUGGUAAGUGCAGGUUUAGUUUUUGUAAGAAACUGCCAAACUGUUUUCCAGAGUGACUGUACCAUUUUACAGCCCCACCAGAAAU